AAGAGUUACGGGGUGUGUUGGGUGGUGGUGUCCCGUCCUCCCAGGCCGUUGGCAUGGUGCAGGAGCAGAUCGGGUCAAAGUAGUGGAAUGGGGUAGUGGGUUUUUAAUGAUUGUAGAGUUCGUUUUUUAUUUUAUUUUUAACGUUUUUGCUUUUCCCGUUUUCCCAUUUUGUAUUUUAAAGUGCAACGUGUUUAUAUUAUAGUCCAGUUGGGGGCGGUAAUGCUACAUAUUCGAUUCCAACCGCCGUUAAACUCCAAAGCAGAGGGAGAAGUAGUUCCGGGGAAGCGCGGACCAUUCUUUAGAUAAAGGAAGCGCUAGAACUGUGCUGUGAACACGGUAUCCUUUGUGUCCAUUAUUACAGAUCGCAAAGCAGCAACAUACAACUGACCUAAAGGCCAAAUCAGAUUAAGUCUGAGGCCGGUAACAUCAACAGUGAGGACAAACCCCAGCCUGCCUCUCUCCUUCCACACCGAGUCCAAACCUACAGUAACGGGGUCCUGAUUGUGACAGU